rnacentral:rRNA from 1 species
UCCACGCCGUAAACGUUGUAUACUAGGUGUUAGUGGUUUACCACUAGUGCCGUAGCUAACGCAUUAAGUAUACCGCCUGGGGAGUACGGCCGCAAGGCUUAAACUCAAAGAAAUUGACGGGGGCCCGCACAAGCGGUGGAGCAUGUGGUUUAAUUCGAUGAUACGCGAAGAACCUUACCUGGGCUUGAACUGUACAUGACAGGUGUAGAGAUACACUCUUCUUCGGACAUGUAUAUAGGUGCUGCAUGGUUGUCGUCAGCUCGUGUCGUGAGAUGUUGGGUUAAGUCCCG